AAGUAAAGAAGUAAUAAAUACAAUUAGUUUCGACCUAAAAUUAGAAUUAAAUAUUCCUUACUUG
rnacentral:tRNA from 1 species